GAGAUGUGAUGAGUAUAUACUUUGGUCCGUGUUUCUGAUCAACUGUGACUGAUUUUAACCAAUCUCUGAUUUC
rfam:Daucus carota subsp. sativus cultivar DH1 chromosome 4, whole genome shotgun sequence.